GACGAGUGCGGAGCGGAAGGCCGAUGGGAAAAAUGGUGUCCUCGAGGAGUGGCGUCGACCCUCGGAGCGGCUACUGCGACGCGAACUCGACCUUCUACAGCAAGCGGCCGCCCAUCGCCCUUCCCGCCGAUCCCAACCUCUCCGUCACCGCCUUUCUCGCCUCCCGCCGCCACUCCGGCACCACCGCCUUCAUCGACGCCGCCACCGGCCACCGCGUCUCAUUCACCGCCCUCUGGCGGUCCGUUGCCGCUGUCGCCACCGCCCUCGCCUCCCCUCCCCUCUCCGUCCGCAAGCCCCAUGUCGUCCUCCUCCUCUCCCCCAACUCGGUCCACUUUCCCGUCGUCUCCCUCGCCGUCAUGUCCCUCGGCGCCGUCCUCACAACCACCAACCCCCUCAACACCCCAGUCGAGAUCGGCCGCCAGCUCGCCGACUCCUGCCCUGUCCUCGCCUUCACCACCCGCGCCCUAAUUCCUAAGCUCGCCUCCGCCCCUGAUCUCCGAAUCGUCCUCCUCGACGACCGCCGGCGCCCAUCGGACGACCGCCGGAUCGUUGCCACCAUCGGCGAGAUGAUCGCGACGGAGCCGGACCCGGCCCGGACCGCCGGCGCCGUGAGCCAGGACGACACCGCCACGCUGCUCUACUCCUCCGGCACCACGGGCACCAGCAAGGGCGUCGUCGCCACCCACCGCAACCUCAUCGCCAUGGUCCAGAUCGUCCUCAACCGGUUCAAGCUGGAGGACGGCGCUGAGCCGGAGACCUUCAUCUGCACCGUCCCCAUGUUCCACGUGUUCGGCCUGGUGGCCUUCGCCACGGGGCUGCUGGGCUCGGGGUCGACGGUGGUGGUGCUGUCCAAGUUCGAGCUGGGGGAGAUGGUGCGGGCGAUCAACGAGUAUGGGGCGACGUACCUGCCGCUGGUGCCGCCAAUCCUGGUGGCGAUGGCGAACCAGAGCCGGCCGCUGCCGCUGGGCCGGCUCCGGCGGGCGCUCUCAGGCGGGGCGCCGCUAAGUCGGGAGGUGAUCGAGGGGUUCCGGGAGAAGUACCCCGCGGUGGAGAUCCUGCAGGGGUACGGCCUCACUGAGACAACGGGGAUCGGCGCCUCCACCGACUCGGCGGAGGAGAGCCGCCGCUACGGCACCGCCGGGAUGCUCUCCCCCAAC
rnacentral:lncRNA from 1 species